rnacentral:rRNA from 1 species
GGACGAACGCUGGCGGCGUGCCUAACACAUGCAAGUCGANCGGGGACACUGAGGAGCUUGCUCCGAGGUGUUCUAGCGGCGGACGGGUGAGUAACGCGUGAGCAAUCUGUCCCAGACAGGGGGAUAACCGCUGGAAACAGCAGCUAAUACCGCAUGAGACCACAUGACCGCAUGGUCAAGGGGUCAAAGGAGGAAUCCGGUCUGGGGUGAGCUCGCGUCUGAUUAGCUAGUUGGUGAGGUAACGGCCCACCAAGGCGACGAUCAGUAGCCGACCUGAGAGGGUGAUCGGCCACAUUGGAACUGAGAGACGGUCCAAACUCCUACGGGAGGCAGCAGUGGGGAAUAUUGGGCAAUGGGCGAAAGCCUGACCCAGCAACGCCGCGUGAGGGAAGAAGGUUUUCGGAUUGUAAACCUCUGUCCUUGGUGACGAAGGAAGUGACGGUAGCCAAGGAGGAAGCCCCGGCUAACUACGUG